rfam:Triticum aestivum genome assembly, contig: Triticum_aestivum_CS42_TGACv1_scaffold_061681_1DL
UAAGUACUCUCUCCGUUUCAAAUUACCCGUCGCAGAAAUUGAUGUAUCUAGAACUAAAAUACAUCUAGAUACAUCCAUACCUGCGACAAGUAAUUCGGAACGGAGGAAGUAGUUA